UGAGGAUUACAGUGAGGUAGUUACUGAGGAUUACAGUGAGGUGGUUACUGAGGAGUACAGUGAGGUAGUUACUGAGGAGUACAGUGAGGGAGGUUACUGAGGAGUACAGUGACGUAGUUACUGAGGAGAACAGUGACGUAGUUACUGAGGAGUACAGUGAGGUGAUUACUGAGGAGUACAGUGAGGUGAUUACUGAGAAGUAAAGUGAGGAGUUUACUGAGGAGUACAGUGAGGUAGUUACUGAGGAGUACAGUGAGGUAGUUACUGAGGAGUACAGUGAGGUGAUUACUGAGAAGUAAAGUGAGGUAGUUACUGAGGAAUACAGUGAGGUGGUUACUGAGGAGUACAGUGAGGUGAUUACUGAGGAUUACAGUGAGGUGAUUACUGAGAAGUAAAGUGAGGAGUUUACUGAGGAGUACAGUGAGGUAGUUACUGAGAAGUACAGUGAGGUGGUUACUGAGGAGUACAGUGAGGUGGUUAC
rnacentral:lncRNA from 1 species